rnacentral:misc_RNA from 1 species
GCUGACGUUCGCGACGGGAAGGGCCCUUCGCGGGCCGGCACCCCAACCGCGGGCCGUCCGGUGUUCAGGCGGAUCGGGACCCUCUUCCUUUUCGCGUGCACGGAUCCAGGGACCGAUGGGGACUUCCCUCCUCGGGGCGGCCCGGGCACGUGCCCGGCCCUCCAUGCGUGGGGCCGUCUGGCCGAGAUCUCCGCCGUGCGAGGUCGAGCGGUUCCGGCAGACCACCCAGGGGUCCGAAAAACCCAGGGAGCCGCGAGGCUCAGCAGGGCCAAACACGGUCGCGAGAGCGAGCAGGGGCGCGCUGCGGUCCCCCCCCGACAGGACCACACCACGCGGCGCGGGCCGCGGGAGGUGGGUUGGCCCUCGACGUCGGUGGGACCCCGUACCGCCCUCUCGCUGGAGCACCAGUAACCCCUGCUGCCCUCCCUGUCUGGGUCGCUGACUUCUUCUCUAGCGGGUUGCCUGGAAGGCGGUGGCGGCCUCUGCGCCGCGUCGCCACGUACGAAAAAAGGGACACCGGGAAAAGCGGGGCGAAGGGGGGCCCGAGGGGGCCCGGCUCCGUCUGACUCCCGACAUCCUUCUUCGAUGCCACCCGGGGCACCGCGGGGGGGAAAGAAAAGCAGCGCGAGGGCCCCGCGCCCUCUCCGCUGCCGGACUCUCCCCUGGUGUCACCCGGAACACCGGGAAUGCGGGGAGAGAGGUUCGAGGGGAGGUGCCGGGAGGGGGGGUCUUAACGGCCCGCCCCCCCGCCCUGUCUCGCUCUCUCUUCCGCCGGCUUUCGCCCUUGGGUGUAACCCGGGCCGCCUGGGAAAGCGGGGAGAAGGGGGCUCUCUUCGGAGGCUCACCCCAUCUCUUCCGCCGUCCUUCCUUGGCGGCUCCCGGGCACUCUGCCGCGGGCUUGAAGCCGAGGGAGCUGGAAGGUGGCCGGGGUCCUGACGGUCCUCCGUCUCUCUCCCGCCAUCCGUCGGGUGGCCCGGGGCCGAUCUUGGGGGAUCGCCAUCCCCGUCGGUCCUCCGCCUCUCGCUGCGUCGCGGGUCCCGCUCCUUCCCUCCCGGGGAAGGCCGGUGGGGCCCGCUGGGCGGGGGUGCCUCCAGUCCUCGUGGCGGGGCCCCCGCUCCUCCUUUCCGGAGCGCGGC